UCGGGUUGGUGCUGUCCUUUCCCCUGCGGCCUCUGCUCUGGCGGCAGUACGCGGGCCGAGCUCCAGGCACGUGCGGGUAAGUAAAGGCCAAGUGGGCAGAAGCCUUGGACGUUUACUAGUUUGGGGCGAGAGGCAGCUGUGGGGAGGCUUCUUCCCAGGGACAGGACGAAAUUGGGGUUCGUUCCAUCAUAACCCCGUGUUUGGAGGGCAUCUUGAAGAGUCGCUGGGAGAUGGUAGCCCUAGAGUCGCCCCUUGUUUUCUGCCAGCCCUCUUGUCCCUGGAGAGUCUCCUACAGCUGGUCUCCGAGAUCCUCGCUUCCCUGGCGCCAGAGCCCGGAGCUUGGGAAGAUUUGUGAUGAGCACGUGUCCGGGUGGAGCUCGGUCAAGUCCUGCAACCCAGUCCCCUAAAAGGGGCAGGCUGUGUUUAGAUUAGUUUUUAGACCUGGACAAUGAGCCUAUUUUACCUUUUCUCCCAAUGUUUGGGGGUGGUUAAAAGUGAAAUUAAAGGAUGGCUGGAAAAACAUAUGGUCUUAGAUACCCUACUCUUAUUAUGUAAAUAAGGUAAAUUAUAAUUGUGAAUGGGUAGGAAUGUUUACUAACAUUCUUGCAAACACUUGAGUUACUGCUUUCAACAACAGUUGAGGUCGUUGGUAGGAAUGGCAGCAUGUCUCCGUUUCCUUUCAUACCCAUUACUGCAUCUUGUUAUUUUUCUGGAGUACCGCUUUUAUUGUGCUUCAAAAGGUCUCCUAACCACGUUUUCUCCAAUCUAGUUUUAACUAGCCUUUCUGAUUUGCACUGCCCAUUGCUCUACCAAGGUAACAUUUCCCCUUUUACUCCCCCUAUUUAUCAUAUCCUUGUCUGGAAUGUAGCUUUUUAUAACAGCAAGUAUUUAUUGACCACACACUCUAAAACAUAUUAUAUAGGCUUAUAUAAGCUUCUUAAGCCUAACAACCAUCUUUUGUACAGGGUACCAUUGAUAACAUUCCUAUUUGACAGAUGAGGAGACUGAGAGGUAUAGAGAGGUUAAGUUACUUGUUCACUGUUUCGUUUUUUUAUAUUUUUUAAUGUUUAUUUUUGAGAGAGAGGGAGACACAGAAUCUGAAGCAGGGUCCAGGCUCUGAGCUGUCAGCACAGACGCGUGCCGGGGCUUAAACUCACAGUUGUGAGAUCAUGACCUGAGGAGAAGUCAGAUGCUUAACCAAGUGAGCCACCCAUGCACCCCACUUGUUUGUUCACUGUUACAUAGUUGUUAGGUGAUAGCUUAUACUUGUUGACUAGACCAUUAAUAUGCUCCUGUUGAGGGGUUCCUGGCUGGCUCGGUUGUAAGAGCAUACAGUUCUUGAUCUCAGGGUUGUAAAUUUGAGCCCCCCCGCCCCCCGUUAGGUGCAGAUUAUAUAAAACUUAAAUCUUUUCUAGGGUCACCUGGGUGGCUCAGUCAGCUAAGAAUCUGACUCUUGGUUUCUGCUCAGGUCAUGAUCUCACGGUUCAUGAGUUCAGCCCUGCACUGGGCUCCGGGCAGACACUGUGGAGCCUGCUUGGGAUUAUUUUUGCCCCUCCCCAAUUUGUGCUGUCUCUCUCAAGAAAUAAAACUUAAAAAAAUCUUUUAAAAAAAUGCUCCUGGGGCGCCUGGGUGGCACAGUCGGUUAAGCGUCCGACUUCAGCCAGGUCACGAUCUCACUGUCUGUGAGUUCGAGCCCCGCAUCAGGCUCUGGGCUGAUGGCUCAGAGCCUGGAGCCUGUUUCCGAUUCUGUGUCUCCCUCUCUCUCUGCCCCCCCCCCCGUUCAUGCUCUGUCUCUCUCUGUCCCAAAAAUAAAUAAACGUUGAAAAAAAAUUAAAAAAAAAAUGCUCCUGUUGAACUGCUGUGGUACAUAGGUAAAAAACGUGAAAAUAAAGCUAACCAAGGGAAAGGUUUUUGUUUUACUGUCUAUUUCUCUGGCUCUGAAAUAAGUUAUGGGGUUUUGAGGGUAGAGGUCUUGAAAUUUACACAAGUGUUCACUACUGUUAGCUGCCUAACCCAGAGUACUUGGAUUGCAGAGGGGCCAGCCAUGGGCUUUGGAUAGAUGCAGCCCCAGGUGAGUGCAAUUUCAUUAGCCUGCCUUUGGCCCCAGCUGUAGGCAGCUGCCUAGGUUGCUGUGUACCUAGGCAAGUGUUACGCUGCUGGGAGAAUAGCAGCCGUGAUAGCUGGUUGGCAUUCUGGGCCUGGUUCAUUCCAACUCUGUUGUUAACUAUACCAGGAUGCCAGCAUAAUUGUUCAUUCAUUAAGGUGAAAUCUGUAAGGGCAUGACUUUGCAGGGAGAAACCUAAAAAUCCAAAUCUUUCUGAGUGGUUCUGGUUCAACAGGUUUGUCUAGUUGAACUUGCUGGAAACAGAACAAAGGUAAUCAAGCCAUGAAGGGAUGUAGAAGUAUAGGGAGGGGUGCAAUUUUCACUGAAAUCAAAGUGCCUGUCCCCCACUCCACCAUACAAAGCUAGUCUCUCUGAAGGGAAUUCUAUAGCUGCAGUGAUCUAUAGGGAUGCUUUAUUAAGGAAAUGUUACGUGAAUUUGCUUUAAAAUUCUAGGCAUUCUUCUCUAGCUCUUUAAUAAAAUAUAAAAAUACCAAUUGAUUGAGAGGCUCUACAUAGUAGGCCUAGCUAUAACCGUACUAAUUUCUGCUUUAGGCUGACAGUAUAUUUGUGUUGGUUUCCCACAGAGUUGUUGCCCCUUCAGGGCAGUAAAAUAACGAGUCCCUUUUGUAGUGAUUUUGUUUUGGAUUGCUAAUUCUCUGAGAAGAGAUGCUUCUCAGUUCUAGGCAAACACACAGCACUCAUGGUGGUGCUGGAGAUUGUCCAAUAGGAUUGACUUAGUUGCUACUUCUGUGAAAAGUGACAUCCUAGUUUCCAUAGGAGGAACUCCUGAGGAUGUUGGGAGGUGGGGGAGUUAUUUAUAAAAACUAGUUUUGUUCCAACAAUUGGCUUUCCCUAAAAAGAGUUCUCUUAGUUAAAUGUUGAAUUCCUUGUGUGAAUACCUCAGAUGUUCAUUGUGAACAGCCUUUUACAUAUGGGGUUUUAAGAAUACUAGUGAUACCUAGAGGGUUUGGGGGAAUGGUUAGCUUUAUGGUAAUUAUAGGCAAGAAAAAGACAAUAGGAAAUAAAAUAAUUCUGGAGGUAUUGAAAAUAGGGUAAAUCGUAAAUGGCAGGCAGCACUGCUUCCAUUUCUACAGAAAAGAGGUUUUAGGAGCUGCUGUUUUAGUCAACACUGUUUAGUGUUCAACAGUGAAAUCUUUUUCUUUUUAGGAUGACUUGAAAGUAGGGCAUCCUUGGCCUUCCGGAAGAGAGUAAAUUCACGGCACGUGGACAGUCUGUAUGGCGUUCUCAGGUAAAUGUCCCUAUUAAUUCCAACACUGACUACUGCCUAUGUGGCAGGCCUAUUUGCUAGUUGGUAUCCGUUAGGAAACAACUGGGAGGCAAAAUCACCUGUAUUUGCCCCUGACAAAUUCGGCCUCUUAGCAGUGAAAGGCUAUUUUGGUGGUUCUAGUCUGAAGGUGUAUAGGAUCUUUGAGAUGAUCUGUAUCAUUCCAUCUGAGGAAUGUACAAGCAGAUUAUAAAGCCCAGGAUAGGAAGGAUGGCAUAUCUUGCCUAUUGGCAGCUAGAUCCCAAUCAUGGCACCUGGCACAUAGCAGGAACUCCUUGAAUGUUGGACAAAAUGACUAAAAGCAUGGGAAAGGGGUUCCUGUUUCCUAUUUGUCUAAAAGGCUUGGCAGCAAGGUCUGCUAUCAGUGCUUCCAGGCUUCUGUUUUGCAGUCAACAUUGAAUUCAUUGGGAUACCUGUAUCCAUAACUUCUACUUGGGGUGCCUGGGUAUCUGAAACAAAGAAAGCUGUUUCAGGAAUCAUCCAGCAGUUGUCAGCUAUCCAGGCCAGCAUGAUGCCUUGGAUGGUGUUACACUGUUGGAAGAGCAAACGCUGACCUUCUUGAGGUCUGGCUUCAAGCACUGUUUUGGUGUUGUGGCUGAUACUCUUGGGCAGUGUUUUGCACCUCUGAGAGUGGAGUAACUCCUCCUGUGGAGUUGGUCCUAGUCUGGGUGCAAACAAUUUUUUUUUCUUUGAGGAAAGGACCCUGUCUUAAGGAUACUUUAUCAUUCCUUUCCUCUUUGAAUCCUAGAUGCCUUUAUCUGAGUGAGAAAUCUGCCUCCAUCAGAAUCUCAGAUGUCUGACAGCCCUGUGUGACACCAGGAUAGGUAAUAUAUACAGUCCUUUGUCAUGUAGGUUCUAAUUAACUUUCAGCCUCAGAUGGGUGGUGUGAAAUAAUACAAAAUAUAUAUAUUGGCCUCUGCUCCCAUUCUUGGCACAGAGCUGCUAAAACUCUUGAAAUUCCCUAAGUGGUAAGAACACUAGGAGCAUCUUUUGUUCUAAUAUUUGGUUUUUCAUGCUGAUGCCUGACUGAGCUCUUAAAUCUAAGAAUUUCCUGGGUGAUUUAAAUGUCUUGUUCUAAUGAGGUGGUAACUAGAAAGACCAAGCACUGAUUAGAAACUUGGAAUUUUCAACCCCACUUCCAUUCUUCAGAAAGGGGAAAGGGGCUGGAAAUGGAAAUAAUUGAUUAUUCCCACAUGAUGAAGCCUCCAUAAAAAUCCCAGUAGUAUUGGGUUUAGAGAACUUUCAUGUUGGUGAACACAUGGAGGGAAGGUGCUGGGAGAGUAGCACAUCCAGAGAGGGUAUGGAAGCUCAGCAACCCUUUCCACAUAGCCUUGCCCUAUUCAUGUCCCAUCUGGAUGUUUAUAUCCUUUCCCAUAUCCUUUAAAAAAAUUUUUUUUAAUAUAUUUUUAAAUAUUUAUUUAUUUUAGAGAAAGAGAGUGCAAGCCGGGGAAGGACAGAUGAUCCAAAGUGGGCUCUGCAUGGACAGGAGAGAGCUCAGUGCGGGGCUUGAACUCAUGAACUGCGAGAUCAUGACCUGAGCUGAAGUCAGACACUUAACCGACUGAGCCACUCCAGCGCCCCUACCAUAUCCUUUUAAAAUAAAUUGGUAAAUUGUAAGGAAACCGUUUUCCUGAGUUCUGAGAGCUUUUGCAAAUUUAUCAAACCUGAGGAGGGGAUUUGGGGAAUCUGUGAUUUAUAUUGGUCAGAAGUACAGGUAACAACCUGGACUUAACGAUUGGCAUCUGAAGUGAGGGAGGAACAGUCUUAUUGGACUGUGCCCUUAACCUGAGGGAUCUGAUGAUACUCGAGGUAUAUGGAGAGUCAGAAUUAGGCUAAAAUGUACGACACCCAGCUGGUGACACAAAUUUGCUUGGUGUGGGAGAAAAUCCACACACAUCCAGUGUCAAAAAUGUUGAGAGAGUGGUAGUAGUGUGAGAGUAAAGGAAAAAUACAAAGUUAGGUUUUCUUGGGGCACCUGGCUGGUUCACUAGGUAGGGCAUGUAACUCUUGAUCUCAGGGUCAUGAGUUUAAGCCUCAUGUUGGGUAUAGAGCUUAAUUUACACACAGAAAAAUCUUCUAAAAAGUAAGGUUUUCUUUACAGGUGGAAAAAUUUACAAGUUCUAAAAAAUUAUAGGAAAUAUGAGAACAUUACAGAAGAAUACUAAAUCAAAAGUUCAAGGCUUAAACUAAGCUCUUAUUUUCUAGAGCUCUGCAGUACAAUACAUGAGGCUAUUUCAACUGACAAAAAUUGAAUCUGUUUUUCCAUCUCAGUAUUUAGUGACUGCCGUAUUGGACAGCUCAGAGAACAUUUCCACCUGUGUGGAAAGUUUUAUUAUACACUGCUGUUCUAGGGCAGGGGUUGGUAAACUUGUAAAAGGCCAAAUAAUAUUUUAGACUUGUGUACCAUAUAGUCUCUCUUAUAACUACUCUCAAUUCUGCAGUUGCAGUAUGAAAGCAGCCAUAGUCAUAGAAAGUGUCAAUAAAUGAGCAUUACUUUGCCCCAGUAAAACUUUAUAUUUUUUAAAUUUUAUUUAUUUUGAGAGCAAACAAGCAGGGGAAGGGCAGAGAGAUGGGGAGAGAGAAUUCCAAGCAAGCUCUGCGCUGUCAGCCCCAGAGCUUUAAGUGGGGCUCAAUCUCAGGAGCCAUGAGAUCAUGACCCUGAGCUGAAAUCAAGAGUCGGAUGCUUAACUGAGCCACCCAGGUGCCCCCAAUAAAACUUUAUUAAUAGACCAUGAAAUUGGAAUUUUGUAAAAUUUUCACUGUUACAACAAAAAAUUUUCCACCAAUCAUUCUAAGCUUGAGAGCCUUUCGAAAACAGAUUGGCAGGCCAAAACUGGCCUGUGAACUGGAGUUUGCCAACCCCUGGUCUAGAAAAUAAAAUUCAGGCCUUGGGAAUUGAUAGCUCAUUAGUAACAGGCUGAAGCUAGUACCAACAUGUCUCUGAAAAAUUCCAUGUUACCAAUACCUUUGCCUUAUAGCAAGCCUUUAUCAUAUGGUAUUAAAUACCUUUUAUUAUUUUUAAAUGUUUAUUUUGAGAAAGACAGCAAGAGCACAAGCAUGAGUGGAGGAGGGGCAGAGAGAGGGAGAGAGAAUCCCAAGCAGACUCCUCCUUGUCAGCAUGCAGCCUGACCAGAGGCUCCAUCCCAUGAACAAUGAUAUCAUGACCUGAGCCAAAAUCAGCAAUCAGGCACUUUAGAGGAGUAAAAUGACUUUAGUAAAUUAUCCAAAUAGAAUGGUUCUCAUUUUUUGUAUUUGGAGUUCGUUGUGUAUACUUUUUACAUGGCUUACUUUUGUCAUAGCAGUUCUCUUCAUUUUUAAUGUACACCUAAAGGAAAGGUCCUAAGAAAGAACACGAGUCUUCAGUUUGCAGCAGAGCCUGAUCACAGUUUCAGCCCUUGGUAGUGAAACAAAUGGUCCCGAAAAAAAGAGGAAAACUUUAUGUCAUGAAGUCAGAGUUUAAAAUCUGGGAUCACUGGGUUCUUGGGUAGCUCAGUCGAUUGAACUUCUGACUCUUGAUUUAGGCUCAGGUUAUGAUCCCAAGAUUGUGAGAUCAAGCCCGGUGUUGGGCUCCACAUUGAGUGUGGAUCCUGCUUAAGAUUUUCUCUUUUUUGGGGCACCUGGGUGUCUCAGUCAGUUAAGCGUCUGACUCUUGAUUUGGGCUCAGGUCAUGAUCUCACAGUUCAUGGGAUCAAGCCCUGCUUGGGAUUGUCUCCCUCUCAAAUAAACUUUAAAAAAAAUUCCCCCCCCCACCUCAAAAAUACAAAAAAAAAUAAUCAGGGCACCUGGGUGGCUCAGUCGGUUAAGCAUCUGACUUUGGCUCAGGUCAUGAUCUCAUCAUGCUUCAUGGUUCUAGCCCUGCAUCUAACUCUGUGCUGACAGCCUGGAGCCUCUUUGGAUUCUGUGUCUCCUCUCUCCACUCCUCUCUUGCUCAAGCUCUGUCUCUCUAAAAAAUAAAGAUUUAAAAAAAAAUUUUUAAAUACAAAAAAAUUAAAAUAUAGAACAUUAAGUAAAUAGAUAAAUAAGUUAAUUAAUUUUAAAAAUCUGGGAUCACAAGCUCCUGUGAGCAUACAGAUUGCCUUCCUGACCACUGUAAGUCUACCCAGGUGCAGAGAGGGGGCCCCUUUGUUGCUACUUGAAGGAUAAUUCAUUGAAGUCAGUGACUGUAUUCAAUACCCCAGGAGGUUUCAGUGGCUUAAUCAUGCCCAUUAAAGUAAUAUAAUGGGAUUUCCUAGUUGAUGAGUGAAGUUAAUUAGUCACCUACUACUCCCUGUUGAGUUGAUUUUUUUUUUUUUUAAUUUCCUGGUAAGGAAAGAAAAGAUGAAGUAAAACAUUUCAAAGGACCUUUUUAACCCUGAGCUGCCACCUCUUGUCAUAGGAAGCAGUUAGUAGACACAGUGUCCCUCUUCAUUGCUCUGCUUCAGUUUCAAGCCUCAGACCUGUACCAUAUCAAGAGGAAAAACUAACAGGAUGGGUAGGGGGCUGAAAGUAUUGAGUGCCAUUCCUGGUGCCUAUCAAUAAUUUACUUCCUUUCCUUCAGGGUUGAAACUGCUGUCAACAGACUUUUGAAUUAAAAUUUUGGAUCACCUCUCAAAAUUUUAAUCAGGAAAAUAAAACCCUGGAGAAAUAAAUUCUGCAGGCCCCAAAGGAACAUAAAAAUGUGGAUCGGUGCCUAGGAAUUCACACAAAAGAAAACAAUUGGGGACGAGCAACUAAUUAAGUACUUAAAAGAAUGACAAUGACUUCUUGAAUCUUGUUGCUUAAUUAGGGUUUUAUGAACAGCUCCAGUUAAUGGACCUGUCAAUAUUCUCUUGGAAAACAAUUUCACUGAAUUAACAAAUCAAUGGUAAUACUUAGAAUGUCUGCUUAGCAAUUCUCUUUAUGCUAUUUAGAAGGCCUGUUACUUUGGCCCUCCUGUACUCCAAUAAAGGGCCUUUAGAAUAUGAGAACAUUCUGUACUCCUUGUUAAGGGUGACUUUACUACUACCUCAAAAAAGGCUGAUAAAAUGGACCUUAAAAUAGAUUAUAGAAAAGUUGUAGAUUUACAGGAAAGUUGUAAACAUAGUACAAAGAAUUCCCAUGUACUCCACAACCCAGUUUCCUUUCAUAAGAACAUUUUACAUUAGUAUAGACAUUUGUUACAAUUAAUGGGCUAAUAUGAAUAUGUUGUUAACUAAAGUCCAUACUUGCAGAUUUCCUUAGGUUUUACUUAAAUGUCUUUUGUCUGUUCUAGAAUCCCAUUGAGGAUAUUACAUUUAGUUCUUGUAUCUCCUUAGGCUCAUUUUAUUUUUAUUUUUAAUAUUUUAAUGUUUAUUUAUUUUUGAGAGAGAGCAUGAGCAGGGAAGGGAAUGCUCUAGUUCUCAGAUGAUUUGAUUACCCUAUGAGCUCACAGCAAAGGAUGGCAAUUUUUAUCAGAUGCCUGUAGAAGGGAGUAGCCAAGCCCAGACAGGUCCUAGAAUCAUAAUGGGUUAGAGUGUGGAGAUUCCCUCAAGGCAUAAAGCCUCUGAGUUAUAAUCUGGAAAAUUUAAGUCCUACCUUCUACUACCUCUACACUCCUGGCACUCUGUCCUUUUCUACACUAGGGUUCCAUUUCUUGCCCCUGUAUAAUAGGACCUAAUCAUGAUCUAUUCCUCCAAGGAAUCUUUAUAUUUAGUUUCUCAGAUCCCUAACUUCUUUCUUCUGUAAUCUCCAGGGCUGAGUUAGAGGAAGAGAAUGACAUAUGCUAACCACACAUCUUGUCAGAAGACUAUUUAACCCACCCUUUUUAUGAGUUUAGAGGCUUUAUUAACUGAACUCCUAGACACUGGGGAUAACCGAUGAACAAGACUUAGUCCCUGCUUACCUUAACAUGGCCUAUCAGGGCAUACACAGUCUAACCCUUACCCCUCUUAUCUUCAUCUUUACCACCCUCAGAUUCCCUUCAGGCCACACUGAUUUCUUUCAGUCCUUGAUAAGCCUUUUGCUACUAGGUCUCUGUGCUUGGUAUUUCCCCUUCUGGUUCCAUCUUUUUUUCCACUUUGUCUCCUUUGAGAUCUCAGCUCAUAUCAUGUGUAGAGAAGCCACCUUCCCUGGGUAUCUGAGUAACCAUUACAUGUGUCAUUGCACCUGGCCUACCACAGAGCUAGACAGUCAGAUGCCAUGUGUCCUUUGAAAGGUAUUAUUCACACCAGCUUCUGUGGGUUUACAUAAUUCCCAUAGAGCCAAGCAGCCUCAAUUGUACUGACAACUAAGGACCUUCAGCUAGCUGAUAAAUACUACCUAUGCGUCAAAAUGUAUCAAAAAUAUAGUAAUGCUAUAGGCCCAUCUAUCCUGCUUUUCAAUAAUUUGCCAGUAAUUGAGAGUAUGGACAGCACUGGUUUUAUUCUUUAAUAGUUUGAAACAAAAAUACCAUGAAAACAAAGAUGUCCAAUUUCCAAAGCAUUUUCUAGUGGACUCUGAAGGUGUAACCUACUGCACAACUAUUUAAAACUAAAUUAAAUUUCAGGGGCGCCUGGGUGGCUCAGUCGGUUGAGCAUCCUACCUCGGCUCAGGUCAUGAUCUCACGGUCCGUGAGUUUGAGCCCUGCGUCAGGCUCUGGGCUGACAGCUCGGAACCUGGAGCCUGCUUCAGAUUUUGUCUCCCUCUCUCUGACUCUCCCCCGUUCAUGCUCUGUCUCAAAAAUAAAACAUUAAAAAAAAUUUUUAACUAAAUUAAAUUUCAAAAAGUAUUGAAUGAAAAUAAUGGAUUUGCAGAGGAUUUGUUCCAAUUUGAAACAUGCGUUAACUGAAAUAUAUGUGUCGCCUUUUGUUACUUUUUUUGGUAAUCUAUAAAUGUCUUCAUAAUUAAAGUGUGUGAAACAGCUUUGUGUGUAAAUUAUAACUAGAAGAACUUCUCUUACUAGCAAUCCUUACACUAACAAGUAGGUGCCAGCUUAAAACUUAUGACCAGACUUAAAUGGAUAAUUUUAACAAGUGUACUCUGGGGUUUUAUAAAAAUAAAUAACCUUUGAAUCUAUGGUUUUGUCAUUUUAGGAUAUUCAUGUAAAUAUACUGCGGCACAUGUGGUGCUCUACAACGACAACAUUGCAUGUUGAUCAUGUGCCAGAAUUGCUAAACUCAUUCUACAUAUGUGAAUCCUCUCAACAGCCCUACAAGGUAGUGCUGUUACUUGCCCAAGGUCACACAGUGGGUCCAGGAACUACUGUGUUCAAUUAAUCUGGCUCAGAAACUGGUGUUUGAUUUGGAACUUUCAAGUAUGGUGCCCCCAGGUCUUCCCAACUAAUUCUAAUAAUUGCUUGCUUUCUUUAGUCAUCAACCUCACUCAGACUAACGAAUAAUGUCUUGCAGGGACUACUGAAAUGGCUGUUUCCAUCUGGUUUCUUAAAACUAUUUCAAGUGCCAAAUACCUUCUUUCAGGCUAUCAGCAUCUUGGCCACUGUUGCUGAAGCUUGAGCUUCCUUUUGCUCCUGACAUUUAAAGAACAAAUACAGCCAAACCCGUUAGCCUGUUUUUAGCCCCCAUCUAUUUCAUUCUGUCAUAUCACCUGUGAGUCUCCUAGAUUUUUUAAAAUGUCCCUCUCUGGGUGCCUGGAUGGCUCAGUCGGUUAAGCAUCCGACUUUGGCCCAGGUCAUGAUCUCAUGGUUGCUGGGUUUGAGCCCUUCAUUGGGCUCUGCACUGACAGUGCAGAGCCUGCUUAGGAGUCUCUCUCUGCCCCUGCCCUACUCGCUCUCUCUCAAAAUAAAUAAACUUAAAAUGUUCCUUUGGAAGGCCUUAAUGGGUCACACAUUCCCACACACAGGUUUGCCCUUUGAUAGAAUUUCUUACAUUUUUAUUAAAAUUAUUCAGUGCUAGCACUACUAAACUGUAGGUUCAGUGAGGGUCAAAAUAAAAAUAUCAAGACCUUUAAAAAUUCCUCAAAGGUUUACUUUUUUAUUUAAGUUUAUUUAUUUAAAGUGAGAGAAAGAAUCCCAGGCAGACUCCGUACUGUCAGUGCAGAGCCCGCUGUGGAGCUGGAACUCCUGAACCGUGAGAUCAUGACCUAAGCCAAACCCAAGUUGGACACUUAAUGGACUCAGCCACCCAGGCACCCCAAAGAUUGACUUUUUUAAAGGAUGGGAUUCAAGUUGGGUUCUCAUUUUAGUUAUGCAUAUAUAAUAGUAUACCUGCUAAAUACUUGCAUAAAGAUUUUAUAGAUAAAUAUAAACGAAUUAUUACAUGCAGGAAAGUCAUUCCUAGAUUAUUUCAAGAAUUAUCUCCCGGGGCACCUGGGUGGCUCUGUCGGUUGGGCCACCGACUUCGGCUCAGGUCAUGAUCUCACAGUUCGUGGGUUCAAGCCCCACGUCGGGCUCUGUGCUGACAGCCUGGAGCCUGCUUCAGAUUCUGUGUCUCCCCUCUCUCUACCCCUCCCCUGCUCAUGCUCUGUCUCUCUGUCUCUCAAUAAUGAAUAAACGUUUUAAAAAAUUAAAAAAAAAAAAAGGAUAAUCUCCCUACAUGCUAUUAAACUCCAUUUGCUAAAAUUGCUGAGGGUCAACAUUCCUAACCUGUUAAAAGUAUCUUACUCUAAAUGGCUGUGCAAUGUUAAUGAGGAACUCUAGAAGUGAUCUUAUUAAAAAAAGAAACCAGCUUUGUUCAAAAUUACUAUCAGAAGUAACUAGCAUGAGAAAAAAAUUAUGAAUGGGGAAAGAAGUAAAAAAAAAUCACUUGUAUAUGAGGGGCGCAUGGGUGGCUCGGUUGCGUGUAAUACUGACAAGACCUUAAAUGUAAAUCCUGUGUUCAAGAAAGUUCAACAUAAAGAUAAAUCUCCUAAAGAAAACUAAGUUUAUAAAAAUUCCACUGUAACAGGAUGGAAAAGAAAGAAUAACCAUAACUAUUGUUAAAACUUAGUAAUAAAGUUUAACUAGCCCUAUCAGAUGUUAAAAUGUUACAAAAAGAGUAAAACAGUGAUACUCAAUGAAUAGAACCAGAUAAAAGGAAGUCCAGAAAUAGACUCUGAAACAAAUUAAAUUUAGAAAGUACAAUAAGAAAGCACAAUUUUUCCUUUAUAUAAUUGCAAAGUGUAGUGACUUUGCCUUCUAAAUUAAAAACCAUGAGGAGUACUUAAAAGGAACGAUGUGACUAUUUUUAAAAUUCUAGGGGCGCCUGGGUGGCUCAGUAGGUUAAGUGUCUGACUUCAGCUCAGGUCACGAUCUCGCAGUCUGUGAGUUUGAGCCCUGCGUCGGGCUCUGGGCUGAUGGCUCAGAGCCUGGAGCCUGCUUCCGAUUCUGUGUCUCCCUCUCUCUCUGCCCCUCCCCCGUUCAUGCUCUGUCUCUCUCUGUCUCAAAAAUAAAUAAACGUUAAAAAAAAAUUUUUUUUUAAUAAAAUAAAAUUCUAUAUAUACGGGCAAUUUGCUGACUUAUUUAGUACAUCAGGUGACUCUUGAUCUCAGGGUCAUGAGUUCAAGUGCCAGGUUGGCAAAGAGAUUGCUUUUAUAAAAAGUAAAGGGGCACCUGGAUGGCUCAGUCCAGUUAAGUGACUUUUGGCUCAGGUUAUGAUCUGUUUUUGAGGUGGAGCCUGCUUCAGAUUUGGUCUCUGUCUUGAUCUCUCUGUCCCUCCCCCACUCAUACAGUGUCUCUGUCUCUCUUCCUCAAAUAUAAACACGCAUUAAAAUUUUUUUAAAGUCACUUCUGUAUUCUAUUGGUCAAAGCUGUUUCUAUUUACAGUGCCCUUCCAAAUGCAGAUAGAGGUGAAAUUGAUUCCAUUGUUAUAAGAAGAGUGGCAAAGAAUCUGUGGCCAUCUUUGAUAGCAAGCAUAUAUAUACACACACACAUUUAUAUAUAUAUGUGUGUAUAUAUGAAUGUGCAUACACAUAAAAAAUGUUUCUUAAUAGAAAAUCCUUAGAAUACACAAGAGAUGGUUGAUAGGUGGAUUGCCUUUAAGUUAGGGGAACAAGUUGGGGAAAACCGUUCUCUGAAACUUAUUACAUGUAUACCUAUUCAAAAAUUCCUUCUUAAACCCCCCUCUUGCUGCCCCUCCAAGUAGACUACAGCUCUGCUGAAGGCAGUACCAUAUAAUGCUCAGAAGCUCUGGGUUUGGACUUACAUAGAACUGGGUUCAAAUCUUGCUUUUUGUUGCUAUUUAGCUGCAUCAUGUGCAAGUUUUUUAAUCUUAGUAAAACAAGAAUAAUGGUACCUUACUCUCAAAAUUAUGGUAAUUAUAAGGUAUUAUAAGCUGCUUAGUGAUUAUGUGGCAUCAAAAUGUAUGUCCUCAGUAUGUCUCCUAGUCAAAACUGAAAGGUCUUCAUUAUCAGCUCAAAUCCAGGCUCUUUCCUGGUAUUAAAGUCAUGUAACAUAGUUGUACCAAGCUUGUCACUUAGACCUUUCAAGGUCUUAGCAGAAAUUCUUGCUUUUGUCUCAUUAUUUACCACACCUGGUGCAGACCUCACCCACUCCCAAGUUAUCCAAACCAAUAUAGAGCUCUUGGUCC
rnacentral:lncRNA from 1 species